rnacentral:tRNA from 1 species
CGUUCUAUGGCCGAACUGGUGAACGCAGCGACGAUCACAGGCGAAGAUGCGGGUUCGAGUCCCGCUGGAACGG